ensembl:lncRNA
CAAGGACUGCGCUGGUACUGUAUGCUGUACCGAGCUGGGAGUUCAUGCAUGCUAUAGGAAAUGUGUUCUGCUUGAUUAACCUCAUGCUGACAUCUCAGGCUGAUGGUGGUGAGGCCUUCAUGCUGUCACCAGAAACAAUGUGGUCACACCGAGAUGGGUGACUGUAGCAGGGAGCAGCUCACUGAGCAUCUGUUCGGUGGGUGCUGGAAGACUGGUGGGAAUGGGGAGCAGUGGUGACAUUUGGGCUGCUUAGUGGAAAAUAGGAGGAUGUUCCCAUUUGCCAUCGCUUGAUGGGUGCAGAUUCAAAGGUCUCUCUAAGCUGCUUUGGUUUCAUAAAGAUCAGCUCCCAGGUUAGAAGCAGAAAUAGCUCUGGGAUCUGCGACGUACACUGCAUUUUCUGGCAGGCAGAAAUCAGGAGUUUUUCAUAAAUGUGCAAAAGGAAGCUGGGGCUUAAGGAGACCCUUCUAAUAGCGGGAAGUUUGGAGAUCUAAUUCAGGAAAAAGGAGAAUUUCCAGGUGUGGGAGCAGAGGACCUCUCUCUUUCCAUACUGCUAAUUUCAAGGCAAACACCAUGGACUAAGUUCAGCAACAAGAAACAUGGAAGAGCUGGUCCCUAGCUGGGUACAUCUCUUUGAUAUUACAGAGGUACAGGAUGCUCUAACACCAUCUCACUUCAAACUAGAGACCUGCCAUAGUAUCUUAUCUUCUACUGUCACCCUGACUCCAGUGCCAUAAAGAAACCAAUACUGUUUACUGGCAUACUGCACAGGUAGCUCCAUCUUUCAUGAGCUGAAAUCUGCCCUCUUCUCACUGUAUGAGAAGCUACAAGAUGUCCUUUGGACUCUCACCCAAGCAUGACCAGCUGCACAAGCAAGUCUGUGUUGUAAAGGUAACUGACAUCAGGAACAGAACAACCUCUAGAGAAGUAUUUGGCACAGAACACAUAAAACUAUGCUUUGCCUGGCUACUAUCAUCAGCGAGAAUCUCUGUCACCAUAGACAUAAUAAUCGGAAAGCUAUGACUGCGGCAAAAAUUAGUAAUAACAUCCAAUAUGCUAAGUAAGUUCCUUUUAGUGGUGUACCUGAGUUGUGCAAACAGGGAUAAAAUAAAACUCAUUUUCACCUUUAAAACCAUUCGAAUUUGUUUGCAUAGUAUUCCCGAUGUAUAAAGUAUUUUCAGGCAAUGAGCUUUAUGUUCAUAUAUGACAAAUUAAAGAAGAUUGAAUAACUUCAUCUAAACCACAUGGAGUCCCCUAUACUGAAUUUUCUCACUGAAUGCUCAAGAGCAAAAGUCUGAAUGAAUAGCAGAGAUUUACAGUGUGCCUCUGAGGUCAAGAAUCUUGUUCAGAAUGAACAAUAAAGGGAUCAAAUUCCAAUGGAGAGUGGUCACUCCUGAGCCCUUCUGGCCCGUUUUCCCUUACCAUACAAUGUGAAGGAUUAUUCACAAAAAAAAUACCUCAGCCAAUCUCAGUUCUUUGUCUGACUUAUGCAGAAAGAAGUAGCCUGCAAGGACUCCAGUCAUUUGGGCCUGCACUUGCUAAAUCAACACCUCCAGUUUCACUCAGAAACAGGUGGUCAGCAAGAGUCUCUGAAAAGCAAUCUGUAUAUUCUCUCCAUUAUUGCGGCCAAUUUACAAUAAAAUUAAAAAAAAAAAAAAAAAGCAGCUGAACUUUCCGUAAAGGGUGCAUUUUCAUGUUAGAUUAGGGACUCUCUUGCAAAGUGGAGAAUUAGGGUGCCAGAAACGACUAUGCUGCGAAACUACUGCUGAAGAUGAGAAAUGGGGAUACAUGGAAAAUCUGCUUCUAGCUGAC